CGGCGGUCAUGGCCCAGGGGAGACGCCCGGACCCAUUCCGAACCCGGAAGCUAAGACCUGGCACGGCGAUGGUACUGCACUCGACAGGGUGUGGGAGAGUAGCACACCACCGCAAUC
rnacentral:rRNA from 1 species